rnacentral:rRNA from 1 species
GAGCCUGAGAAACGGCUACCACAUCCAAGGAUGGCAGCAGGCGCGCAAAUUACCCAAUCCCGACACGGGGAGGUAGUGACAAUAAAUAACAAUACGGGGUUCUUUAGGAUCUCGUAAUUGGAAUGAGUACAAUUUAAAUCUCUUAACGAGGAACAAUUGGAGGGCAAGUCUGGUGCCAGCAGCCGCGGUAAUUCCAGCUCCAAUAGCGUAUAUUAAAGUUGUUGCAGUUAAAAAGCUCGUAGUUGAAUUUCGGGGUUAGUAGGUUGGUCAUGCCUCUGGUAUGUACUGGUCUCACUGAUUCCUCCUUCCUUAUGAACCGUAAUGCCAUUAAUUUGGUGUUGCGGGGAAUUUGGACUGUUACUUUGAAAAAAUUAGAGUGUUUAAAGCAAGCUAACGCUUGAAUACAUUAGCAUGGAAUAAUGAAAUAGGACGUUCGAUCUUAUUUUGUUGGUUUCUAGGAUUGACGUAAUGAUUAAUAGGGAUAGUUGGGGGCAUUAGUAUUCAAUUGUCAGAGGUGAAAUUCUUGGAUUUAUUGAAGACUAACUACUGCGAAAGCAUUUGCCAAGGAUGUUUUCAUUAAUCAAGAACGAAAGUUAGGGGAUCGAAGACGAUCAGAUACCGUCGUAGUCUUAACCAUAAACUAUGCCGACUAGGGAUCGGAUGAUGUUAAUUUUUUAAUGACUCAUUCGGCGCCUUACGGGAA